GACGAACGCUGGCGGCGUGCCUAAUACAUGCAAGUUGAGCGAUGAAGAUUGGUGCUUGCCCCAAUUUGAAGAGCAGCGAACGGGUGAGUAACGCGUGGGGAAUCUGCCUUUGAGCGGGGGACAACAUUUGGAAACGAAUGCUAAUACCGCAUAACAACUUUAAACAUAAGUUUUAAGUUUGAAAGAUGCAAUUGCAUCACUCAAAGAUGAUCCCGCGUUGUAUUAGCUAGUUGGUGAGGUAAAGGCUCACCAAGGCGAUGAUACAUAGCCGACCUGAGAGGGGGAGCGGCCACAUUGGGACUGAGACACGGCCCAAACUCCUACGGGAGGCAGCAGUAGGGAAUCUUCGGCAAUGGACGAAAGUCUGACCGAGCAACGCCGCGGGAGUGAAGAAGGGUUUCGGAUCGUAAAACUCUGUUGGUAGAGAAGAACGUUGGUGAGAGUGGAAAGCUCAUCAAGUGACGGUAACUACCCAGAAAGGGACGGCUAACUACGUG
rnacentral:rRNA from 1 species